rnacentral:rRNA from 1 species
CCUACGGGAGGCAGCAGUGGGGAAUCUUGCACAAUGGAGGAAACUCUGAUGCAGCGACGCCGCGUGGACGACGAAGCCUUUCGGGGUGUAAAGUCCUUUCGGCAGGAACGAUAAUGACGGUACCUGCAGAAGAAGCUGCGGCUAACUACGUGCCAGCAGCCGCGGUAAUACGUAGGCAGCAAGCGUUGUUCGGAAUUACUGGGCGUAAAGAGUUCGUAGGCGGUUCGCUAAGUUUGGUGUGAAAUCUCCCGGCUUAACCGGGAGGGUGCGCCGAAACUGGCGGACUAGAGUGUCGGAUAGGAAAGCGGAAUUCCUGGUGUAGCGGUGAAAUGCGUAGAUAUCAGGAGGAACACCUGUGGUGUAGACGGCUUUCUGGACGAUAACUGACGCUGAGGAACGAAAGCGUGGGUAGCAAACAGGAUUAGAUACCCUGGUAGUCCACGCCCUAAACGAUGCAUACUUGGUGUGAGCCAUUCAAUUGGUUCGUGCCGUAGCUAACGCGUUAAGUAUGCCGCCUGGGGAGUACGGUCGCAGGCUGAACUCAAAGGAUUGACGG